GACGAACGCUGGCGGCGUGCUUAACACAUGCAAGUCGAACGGAAAGGCCCUGCUUGCAGGGUACUCGAGUGGCGAACGGGUGAGUAACACGUGGGUGAUCUGCCCUGCACUUCGGGAUAAGCCUGGGAAACUGGGUCUAAUACCGGAUAGGAGCCAUUUUUAGUGUGAUGGUUGGAAAGUUUUUUCGGUGUAGGAUGAGCUCGCGGCCUAUCAGCUUGUUGGUGGGGUAAUGGCCUACCAAGGCGGCGACGGGUAGCCGGCCUGAGAGGGUGGACGGCCACAUUGAGACUGAGAUACGGCCCAGACUCCUACGGGAGGCAGCAGUGGGGAAUAUUGCACAAUGGGCGCAAGCCUGAUGCAGCGACGCCGCGUGGGGGAUGACGGCCUUAGGGUUGUAAACUCCUUUCGCUAGGGACGAAGCUUUUCGUGACGGUACCUAGAUAAGAAGCACCGGCUAACUACGUG
rnacentral:rRNA from 1 species